UCCAGACUCCUACGGGAGGCAGCAGUGAGGAAUAUUGGUCAAUGGGCGCGAGCCUGAACCAGCCAAGUCGCGUGAGGGAAGACGGUCCUAUGGAUUGUAAACCUCUUUUGCCGGGGAGCAACGGGCGUCACGUGUGGCGCCACUGAGAGUACCCGGAGAAAAAGCAUCGGCUAACUCCGUGCCAGCAGCCGCGGUAAUACGGAGGAUGCGAGCGUUAUCCGGAUUUAUUGGGUUUAAAGGGUGCGCAGGCGGAAGAUCAAGUCAGGGGUAAAAUUGAGAGGCUCAACCUCUUCGAGCCGUUGAAACUGGUUUUCUUGAGUGAGUGAGAAGUAUGCGGAAUGCGUGGUGUAGCGGUGAAAUGCAUAGAUAUCACGCAGAACUCCGAUUGCGAAGGCAGCAUACCGGCGCUCAACUGACGCUCAUGCACGAAAGUGUGGGUAUCGAACAGGAUUAGAUACCCCUGUA
rnacentral:rRNA from 1 species